rnacentral:rRNA from 1 species
AGCGGCGGACGGGUGAGUAACGCGUGGGUAACCUGCCCUAUGGAGGGGGAUAACACAGAGAAAUCUGUGCUAAUACCGCAUAAGCGCACAGUAUCGCAUGAUACGGUGUGAAAAACUCCGGUGCCAUAGGAUGGACCCGCGUCCGAUUAGCUAGUUGGUGGGGUAAAGGCCUACCAAGGCGACGAUCAGUAGCCGACCUGAGAGGGUGAUCGGCCACAUUGGGACUGAGACACGGCCCAAACUCCUACGGGAGGCAGCAGUGGGGAAUAUUGCACAAUGGGGGAAACCCUGAUGCAGCGACGCCGCGUGAAGGAAGAAG